GCAUAUCAAUAAGCGGAGGAAAAGAAACUAACAAGGAUUCCCCUAGUAACGGCGAGUGAAGCGGGAUGAGCUCAAAUUUAAAAUCUGGCUGGUUUACUAGUCCGAAUUGUAGUUUAAAGAAGCGUUUUCGGUGGCAGCCUGGGUAUAAAUCCUUUGGAACAGGGUAUCAUAGAGGGUGAGAAUCCCGUCUUUGACUCAGUGCAUGCUACUAUGUGAUACGUUUUCAAAGAGUCGAGUUGUUUGGGAAUGCAGCUCAAAAUGGGUGGUAAAUUUCAUCUAAGGCUAAAUAUUGGCGAGAGACCGAUAGCGAACAAGUACCGUGAGGGAAAGAUGAAAAGAACUUUGAAAAGAGAGUUAAACAGUGCGUGAAAUUGUUGAAAGGGAAACGCUUGACACCAGUCAUGCGAGCGGAAAAUCAGUCUUUUGCAGUGGGGAGUUGUGUGGGUUCGGACCGCAAGGCCGGCCUGUGCUGCAUCUCUGCUGUAAGUGAUGCACUUUUUCGUUUGCAGGCCAACAUCAGUUUCUUCUGCUGGACAAAACUCUUGAGAAGGUAGCAGCUUAGGCUGUGUUAUAGCUCUUGAGCGAUACAGUGGAGGGGACUGAGGUUUUCGCAGCGCGUGCUCUCGGGCAAGGCUGAUUGGGUGCUAUGGGAUCGUUCGGUGUACAAUGCAUGCAUUUGCGCCGUGUCUUUUCUAUACUCGCUCAACUCGGCUCUCCGCGCUUAGGAUGUG
rnacentral:rRNA from 1 species